rnacentral:lncRNA from 1 species
UAUUUAUAUUGACAACAUUUUUUAAAUGUUUGAUCGUUAAAUUUAUACAAAUUAAUAAAAAUUAUUUUAACUUAAAAUAACUUAUAACUAGGACUAUCAAUUUAUAGACAGCAUAUAUAAAUUUAUAUUAUAAUUCAUAAGAUGUAUUUAUAAUUUAAAAUUCCGAUAUAGAUAUUUAAAAGACAUGACGCUUGUUCAUAAUCAUACACGCAAACGUUAGAAAUGAUAACGUUUCGUCUGUCCGGUGACUCGCACAAUCGUAAAUCAGUAAUCUUGUGUAAUAAAUUGUAACCAAAUACGGAACAAUCGACAUUCUGCGGACACACGAAGAUAGUGCAACACCUGCGUCAUGCCCUCAACAUAGCCGCAUCAGUAAAAGAACGUAUUAUGCCACGAUGCUCGUUAAGUGCAUCGCUUAUCCUCGGCCCGAAAUGCUUUGCGAAAUGCCAAUAAUUGGCCCAAAAAUUCGACCGCUUAUCUGCGGUCGCACCUGUCGUCGGGGAAGCGUCCUGUGCAUGCAAAUGCCAUGGACUCACAUACCAAAGAUUGAUAUCUGUAAUAAAUUGCCGCGGUAAACGAGGGUGUAACCUGUUCUACGAGUAAUGAGCUCCAUUGGCGCGAAACCUUCGUACAAGUUUGCAAAUAAAAAAAAUAGCACGUCACCCAAUAUACAAAAUAUUCAACAUAUUAAAUAUUAUAUUGUACUUUUUUUAUUUACAUUAAUAUUGAGCACUAAUCGCUACGAUUGCUUUAAUAUACAAAUACAGUAUGUCGCGUUUUAAAACAACAUCCUAUUUCCCCUUCUAGGUCGUCGAUGGAUAAAAUCGUCGAUAGGGUAGACAUCAAUUUUGAUAAUGGUUUACCAAGGGGCAAAGAUACGCACCGGAUGUUGGGAAAGCGAAGCAAUUUUCAAAAGAGUCGUCGUGCUGAGAUGUCGGAUGGCGACCGAACGAUCAUUUUACUUCACACUGAUACGACUGGUCAGUAAUAGUCCACUUUUGACAAUGUACGGAGUGAGAAAAAAGCUCCAUGCGAUUUUAUCAACAGAAAGAUAGUGUGAGAUAAAUGACGUGAUAAAUGCAAAGAUUAUACCGCGAGUACUUUGUUCAAUUCCAGAUAGUUUAGUUUAUAGCUAAUAUUAGGAAAAAGAAAAAGAGAGAGAGAGAACUUUUGAUCUUUAUAUUUUUAAUAAAAAUAU